rnacentral:rRNA from 1 species
AGCGUGUGGUUUAAUUCGAUGCAACACGAAAAACCUUACCAAGGCUUGACAUGCUAGUAGUAGGAACCCGAAAGGGGGACGACCGGCCUUCGGGCUGGAGCUAGCACAGGUGCUACAUGGCUGUCGUCAGCUCGUGCCGUGAGGUGUUGGGUUAAGUCCCAUAACGAGCGCAACCCCUGUUCUGUGUUGAUUUCUCACAGGAGACUGCCCAGGAAUUCUGGGAGGAAGGUGGGGAUGACGUCAAGUCAGCAUGGCCUUUAUGCCUUGGGCAACACACACGCUACAAUGGGUGGUACAGAGGGCAGCUAAAGAGCGAUCUGGAGCUAAUCCCACAAACCCACCCCCAGUUCAGAUUGCAGGCUGAAACCCGCCUGCAUGAAGUUGGAGUUGCUAGUAACCGCAUAA